AUCUCGACCUCAGAUCAGACAAGGCUACCCGCUGAAUUUAAGCAUAUUAAUAAGCGGAGGA
rnacentral:rRNA from 1 species